CGCCCCCAUUAACAUACUCCAUCACAAAAUACACCUUCGAUUUCGUCGCCAUUACUUCUUUCAAUUCCACAAUAUGGGGAUGACGAACCAACCCCAUAACAGAAAUUUCUCGCCGGAUUUGCUCAAGAAGCCCCUCUUUCUUCACCCUGUCCUUGAGGAUAACUUUAAUGGCAACACUCUCGUGGGUCAUCAAGUUUCUUCCAUAAUAGACCUUCGCAAAGGUCCCUUUCCCCAAUAGCCGACCCAUUUCGUAUUUCCCAAAUAAAACAUUCCUCGGUCGUGCCGCCUCACCCGCCAUCUCCGAUUUACUUGAACGAAAGCUAAAGACAGAGUUUCCAAGAAGGGGUUUUAAUCGGAGAAAUGAGGAUGAGCCAGAUGAGUAAAGUUAACAUGGUGCAGGAAAGCGGUGUGGAUUGAUGAGAAAAUUGAAAGGGGGAUUGAAUG
rnacentral:misc_RNA from 1 species